UUUUCUCAAAGACAUCUAAAUAAAAGGAGACGAAACAAUUUACAUUUUACCGCGAUCACGAACCGUGUUGCACAAAAAUCGAUGAUGCCAAUUUUAAGUGACCGGUGGUAGAUUUCGGCUGAUUACGGUUUGAGUUCUAAAUGCUAUUGUCAUUACAAGGUCAUUAGACUAAAUAUUUGUGUAGAUAUAUAAUUUUAAUUAUAAUACAUUAAUUAUACUAGGAUUAUACCUUUGAAAUUAUUAUUAGUUUUCUAAUUAAAUUAUAUUAAAAUUACGAUUAAAAUAUAUUAGGGAAAUUACUAAGACAAUCCGGCAUCGCUACGGAUUAAUUUUUACUACGAAUUGUCGGAAUCUGUAGAAAUUACGCUGACAUUUGACGUAUUCAUUCAACUUUUGUCCAACGGAGCAUUGUUGCGAGUUUUCUGCGACCGUUGGAAGUGUUUGUGGAUUUCGGACAACUUUCGAAUAAUUAUUAGUGUUUAUUGCAAAGAAAACUAUUUAAAGUAGUUUUUUAACUAUCUACAAUGGUUCACCAGUGCAUAGUUUGUUAAAGGUGGACUAUUCUAACUCCUGAUUGAUAUUUGGACGGUAAGUGUUAUUACAUUUUUUUACCUUUAGCAAUGCCUUUACAGUAGCGUAUCUAAGUACUUUUAGUUAUAAGUAGAUUAUUACAAAAAUACGUAUAUUUUCUUAUUUGCUGUCGUUUUUGAUUGUGAAAUUAGACUUAUCCUCAGUUAGACCUCAGGCAAAACCUUGGCAAAACCGAUCUACGUUUUAAGUCAAUUAUUUUAAGUAUUUGUCCAUUUCGCUGUUACAGUUGGUGGUAAAAAAUGCUCAGAGGUAAUACUGGCUGUUCUCAACUUAACAUUUAAAAACCUUUUUUAUAUUAUAUCUAAGUACCAACUAACAUUCGAAACCGCUAUAAAUAUCUUAAAAAUUGUGUAUGUUAUGGCUAAUAUCUGCUGAAUAAAACAGCUGUUGCUGUUAUAGGUAGUUAAUACCUGAAAUUUGAACACGAUUUGAACAUCAGAAUUAUUCAGUUAUAUUCUAUAUUAACUAUGUACCUAUAUGUAUGCUAAAUUAGUAUGACAAAGUUAGCUAAUGUUCAAUUAAAGACAUUUAAUUUUUAUAAUUACUUCAGACUUUGGCUAGAUAAUUUCCAUAUUUCUCUCCCAAUGUUGAAAGAAAACUAUUUUUGCAAUCUAAAUAUUAAUAUUAUUGAACUCUAGUUAACAUUAGCAGGUUUUAGAUAUUAACCGUAACACAUGAUUGAUCUAUUAUUUAUUUAUUAUAAAAAAUUCUAUAAGUAAUUACAUAAUAGCGUUCCUAUAAAUACUGAGCUUAGACAAUGAUCGAUUUCACUCUUGAAUUUGAAAAAUCAAACUAACGUGUGUCCAAAUUUGUUCUGAUGAUUUUGAUAAGAGCAAUAUUAUGAUCGCCGAAUUAACUAAUCGAAGGCAAAUAAGACCAAAUUCUGAGCCUCAAAUAGAUAGUACCAUUUUUGCUGGGGCUUUAUCAUACAGGUUUUCUUCUACUUUGUACCGCCACCCAAAAAAUGUUUUAGGUAAAUGAACCUCCAGACCAGCUGAGGGACUAGAGAAGAUUUUGCCUAAAAUCAUACAAGAUAAACUAGCCCUUCUCAAGAAGCCCUUCCCUCAAAACAACAGAAACGGCAUUGGAAAAAGAAGUUGGAAUUAACCAGUAUGUGCUCUUUCAUAGUAAGACAAUCCUCAUCUUCUGAUCUCUCAAUAGUUGGAUAUUUAUUAUCUCAAGAAAGUCGUCAAAGUAUCAGAAAAAGAAAGAAGUAUGUUAAUGAGGCAUUAUAAUGAUAUUAUGUAGAAAUUUAAGUCUUGUAAAAAUUUGGAAACAAAGAAAAUGAAAAAUACAUACUUUACAAAUAGGUCUUAGACGAUUGAAAAAUAAAAUAAUAUCAAUGCAUCAGUUAAUUGAUUACUUAAAAGAAAAAUCUUUGAUAAGUGAAUCAACUGAAUUGAGGCUUCCUUAGCUGAACCAGUACAAAGUAUUUUUGAAAGAAUGUUAAAAGGACCUGCCACACAAAAAUCCAAUCUUCUGCUACUAUCUUUUGCUUUAACAUUGUCAUUUUAUUCGCCGAAAACAUAGAAUUUUAUAAGGGAUACAUAAACUGGCCCAGAGUUUUCUUAGGAGGCCUCUAAAUUCCAUUUAGUUUUCAACAAUAUUUUUGAUAUUUUUAACUCUCAGAAUGGAUUUACAUAAUAUUCAUAUAAAAAAAUUAUCAAAAAUAUAAGAACAACAUACUUUUUAAUAAUUUUGAAAUAAUUAAGUUGUAUAUUAUUGGACUUACUUUAAAAGAAAGGUCAACUAUAGUCACCAAGAAAAACGGGAUUUUUGGGCUUUCUAAUUUGUAUGGAAAGCUUACAACGUAUGUAUAAAUACUAUGUAAAAGAAAAUCAAUUAUUAAAAUAUAUUUUGACUAACUGGUGGAGGUCCACGUAUACAAAAAGCAAAAACGGAAGAUAAUAAUAUAUUCAAUCAAUAUAAAAAUGAGAAGAGCAUUGUGGGAUUAAAGAACAUGAUGGUGAUAGAUUGUCUAAAACUAAUAGGAGUACUGGUAUUUCUCAAAACAAAACUGAUGGUUACAAAGAAACAGAAGAAAAGGGAAGAUAUUAAUUUACUAGACAAAAGGCUGUUCUUUUGUAAUAUGGAGAUGGGCAAAAUUCAAAGUAGUAGUAUUCAAAACAGAGAAGAACAUAAGCUAAAGAAAAAAAAGGGUUGUUAGACAUUGAAAUAAAAAAAGAACAGUAAAGUUCUCAAAGAGAACUUAUUUAAUAAUUAUAGUUAGUGUUUAUAUUGUAAUGUAAAAAAUGUAAUGUAUGUUAUUUCUGAAUAAAAGACAUUUAAUAAUGAUA